rnacentral:snRNA from 1 species
AAAGAGUACAUGGUAAAUAAAGC